AAAAGAGUACUGAUAUAUUUUUACAGUACCUAGUUCGCACCGAUUAAAAAAAGUACUAAUCAACAGGUAGGUGAGUUCACUCCGUUCAAUCAUUUAUAGGAAGUCCUCAUCGCUGAUGUCCAUCUAGAUCAUCUUGUCUUCCUUGUCCUGCUCGUCCCUCAACGGCUUUUACUUUUACAGAAUCUUCUACACUCUAGGGAGAGACUUUAUUCCUACAUCCAAGGUGUUAGGCUUGGCAGUAUCUUGCUAUAACUUUAGCGGUCCAAAACAUAUCUUACUAAACCGCCCUGCAGCAAUGAGGAGAUCAGCACUGACACCAAAAAAAUUAUAGCCAAGCAAUAGUACAAAAGUCAUCCCCUAACGAUACGUCAAUAGAAUUCUGUUGCCAACCCGUAAAUACGAACCAACUGUGGUUGUCCAAUGUGGUCGCAUCGACCCAUAUCCUGCAAAGGAUGCUCAAAUGCCGGACUUCAACAACAGAGAGACUAUGCCAUCUAAUUUAGGCAUUUCUAUUUAACCUCAAAAAAUCAUUUAUGAUCUGAACCUUUCAAAUUCGUUAAUUCAACGUCCAGGUCGGCGAAAUGCAGUUCCUCUAAAAAAAAUUGAAUGAGUGACUGUAGGUACAGUAGUGUGACCAUAAGUAUGGGCGAUGAAACUACAUGUUACCGUCCAUAAUCAUGUUCUUGGGCUCUGCUUUGCCAUGUGCAUACCAAGGUGC
rnacentral:lncRNA from 1 species